rnacentral:rRNA from 1 species
GACGAACGCUGGCGGCGUGCCUAAUACAUGCCAGUAGAACGCACAGUUUAUACCGUAGCUUGCUACACCAUAGACUGUGAGUUGCGAACGGGUGAGUAACGCGUAGGUAACCUGCCUGGUAGCGGGGGAUAACUAUUGGAAACGAUAGCUAAUACCGCAUAAUAUUGAUUAUUGCAUGAUAAUUAAUUGAAAGGUGCAAUUGCACCACUACCAGAUGGACCUGCGUUGUAUUAGCUAGUAGGUGAGGUAACGCCUCACCUAGGCGACGAUACAUAGCCGACCGGAUAGCGUGCACGGCCACACUGGGGCUGAGCCUCGGCUCAGAGUACCACGGGAUGCAGCAGUAGGGAAGCUUCGGCAAUCGACGAGAGUCUGUCCGAGCUACGCCGCGUGAGUUAAGAACAUUUUCGGAUCGUACAGCGCUGUUUUAAGAGGAGAACGGGGGUGGGAGUGGAAAGUUCACUCUGUGACGGUAUCUUACCAGAAAGGGACGGCUAGCUACGUG